UAGCAGUAGGGAAUCUUCCACAAUGGGCGGAAGCCUGACGGAGCAAUGCCGCGUGAGUGAAGAAGGCCUUCGGGUCGUAAAACUCUGUUAUAAGAGAAGAACAAAUUGUAGAGUAACUGCUACAGUCUUGACGGUAUCUUAUCAGAAAGCCACGGCUAACUACGUGCCAGCAGCCGCGGUAAUACGUAGGUGGCAAGCGUUGUCCGGAUUUAUUGGGCGUAAAGGGAGCGCAGGUGGUUUCUUAAGUCUGAUGUGAAAGCCCACGGCUUAACCGUGGAGGGUCAUUGGAAACUGGGAAACUUGAGUACAGAAGAGGAAUGUGGAACUCCAUGUGUAGCGGUGAAAUA
rnacentral:rRNA from 1 species